UACGGAGGGUGCAAGCGUUAUCCGGAUUCACUGGGUUUAAAGGGUGCGUAGGCGGGCAUGUAAGUCAGUGGUGAAAUCUUCAAGCUUAACUUGGAAACUGCCAUUGAUACUAUGUGUCUUGAAUGUUCUGGAGGUUAGCGGAAUAUGUCAUGUAGCGGUGAAAUGCUUAGAUAUGACAUAGAACACCAAUUGCGAAGGCAGCUCACUACGGAUCGAUUGACACUGAGGCACGAAAGCGUGGGGAUCAAACAGG
rnacentral:rRNA from 1 species